CAAAGUGUAGCUUAAGCCAAAGCAUCUGGCUUACACCCGGAAGAUUUCAUGACGACCUGAUCACUUUGA
rnacentral:tRNA from 1 species